GACGUAGGGGGCCAGCGUUGUUCGGAAUUACUGGGUGUAAAGGAUUCGUAGGCGGUGUAGCAAGUCGGGAGUGAAAUCUCUGGGCUUAACCCAGAGGCUGCUUCCGAAACUGCUGUGCUUGAGUGUGGGAGAGGCGCGUGGAAUUGCAGGUGUAGCGGUGAAAUGCGUGGAUAUCUGCAGGAACACCCGUGGCGAAAGCGGCGCGCUGGACCACUACUGACGCUGAGGAACGAAAGCUAGGGGAGCAAACAGG
rnacentral:rRNA from 1 species